AGACGUGUUUUCCGUGCGGCUCUAUGGACAAGUCCCUUGGAACAGGGCAUCGUAGAGGGUGAAAAUCCCGUACUUGCCAUGGAAGUACCGUGCUUUGUGAUACACGCUCCAAGAGUCGAGUAGUUUGGGAUUGCUGCUCAAAGUGGGUGGUAGACUCCAUCUAAAGCUAAAUAUCGGGGAGAGACCGAUAGCGAACAAGUACCGUGAGGGAAAGAUGAAAAGCACUUUGGAAAGAGAGUUAAAAGUACGUGAAAUUGUCGAAAGGGAAGCACUUGAAGUCAGCCAUGCUGCUUGAGACUCAGCCUGGCUUUUGCUUGGUGUAUUUCUCGGUAGCAAGCCAGCAUUGGUUUGUGUCGUCGGAGAAGCGCAUGGGGAAUGUGGCAUCCUCGGAUGUGUUAUAGCCCUGUGCAGGAUACGACGACGUAGACCAAGGAACGCAGUGUGCCCUCUGGGCGGGUCUUCGGACACCUUCACACUUAGGAUGCUGGCGUAAUGGCUUUUAAGUGGGCCCGUCUUGAAACACGGACACCCU
rnacentral:rRNA from 1 species